GGUUAUGGCUCAGUGAUAGAGUGCUUGCCUAGCAUGUGUGAGGCCCUGGGUUUGAUCCUCAGCACCA
rnacentral:tRNA from 1 species